CCCGCCGCGAACUUCCGCUUCCGGGGCGGGGUCAUCGCGAUGGCGGCAGCGGUGGUGACGGGGGUCCGGCGGCGGGCGGCAGCCUUCUUGCUUUCAUCUGCGGUUCGUCACCAGAGUUCCCAGAGCACAUCACUGCAGCAAGGACUUGUUGCCAAAACAUCUCUGACUUCACCCCCAUGGCCUGAAGUGAAACUUCCAGAUCCAGUAGAAGAAGCGAAGUAUCAUGCAGAAGUGGUACAAAAGGUGAACAAGAUGAUUGCAACGGGGCAGUAUGGAAGACUCUUUGCUGUGGUCCACUUUGCCAGCAAGCAGUGGAAAAUAACCGGUGAAGACUUGAUUAUGAUGGACAAUGUACUGGAGGCUGAAUGUGGAGACCGAAUCCGGAUGGAAAAGGUUUUGCUGGUUGGUGCUGACGACUUCACGCUUAUUGGAAGGCCACUCCUCGGGUAAGAUGUCUUAUAGAAGAAUUAUCUUCAAGACAAUUCUUAAUUGUAGCUUCAGGGCUCCUACAGUCUCUGAAACUGAAGAGAAACCUGGAUUUAUCAGCACUAGCUUUUUUCCCCAGCCCUGUGGCUUUUGAAAGGAUCACCAAUAAAACAAGCUCAUCAGCCUCUGCUGGCUCUAACCAUUGCCACAGUGCCAGGAUAGAGCAGCAGUACCCAUUUCUAAGGAAAGAUCUUGUCCGUGUGGAGGCUACUGUGAUUGAAAAGACGGAGUCAUGGCCAAAAAUUAACAUGCGCUUUUGGAAGAGGCACAACUAUCAAAGGAAGAAAAUCAUUGUGAACCCACAGACCGUCCUUCGGAUAAAUACCAUAGAAAUUUUCCCCUGUUUGUCAUGAUUGAUUGCUCGGGUGUUGUGUGGCUUAGGUUUAUUAUUGCUUUAGGCAAUUAUGGAAAUAAAACUGCCUUGUCAUUGGAAA